rnacentral:rRNA from 1 species
UACGUAGGGGGCGAGCGUUGUCCGGAAUCAUUGGGCGUAAAGCGCGUGUAGGCGGCUCGGUAAGUCCGGUGUGAAACCUUGGGGCUCAACCCCAAGCCUGCACUGGAUACUGUCGAGCUUGAGUCCGGGAGGGGAGAGCGGAAUUCCUAGUGUAGCGGUGAAAUGCGCAGAUAUUAGGAAGAACACCGGUGGCGAAGGCGGCUCUCUGGAACGGUACUGACACUCAGGAGCGAAAGCGUGGGGAGCGAGCCGG